AUUGAGAGCAUCUUGACUGGCUGCCUACUGCUUAGCACAACAAUUGUAAGGCACCAGACCGCAAAGCGCUACAGAGGGUGGGGAGUACAGCCCAGUACAUCACUGGGGCUGAGUUCUCUUCCAUCCAGGACCUCCAACCAGCUGGUGUCAGAGGAAGGCCCCAAAAAUGAUCAAAGACUCCACUCACCCAAGCUGUAGACUGUUCUUUCUGCUACUGCAUGGCACACGGUACCAGUGCACCAAGUCUGGAAACAACAGGACCUUGAACAGCUUCUACCCCCAAGGCAUAAGACUGUUAAACAAGACUGCUAAAUAGCUAAUCAAAUGACUACCUGGACUACCUACAUCGACCCUUCUUUGCACUAACUUUCUUGCACUGACUAUAUGCCAACAAGCUCCCACAGUCUCAAGUCAGAAUUAGACAUUCAUUCAUGUUUCUCAAACGUUAUAUUUUUAAGUUGUUCCAAACAUCACAUUUCAAAGUAUUUAAGAUUAAGUUUAGGAAUUAACUCAGAGUAGUUAAAACAAAAAUUUCAAAACAACUUUCUAUAACUGGAAUCAAACAUGCUGUUCUUGGAACUAGAUGGAGGCAUCCACAUAGGAGAUUAGCUAGCUAGUGCUGUUAGUGUUAGCUAACUUGCAGCAUUAAUGUUAGCACGUUAGCUAUCAACCUAUCCAGCAAGAAUGUCGAGGUCAAAAACAAAAUAAACUAUGUUAAGCCAUGCUGAUAUAGUAAGAUAAGUUCGGACUGAAAUAUUUCUGCGACUCACUUGCUAACUUUAGCUUGCUAGCUCAGUGACUGCUGCUGGGCGAAGUAAUAUGCACCUCUUCUUGUUUAAUAUGGGAAAUCAGACUAGCACCACAAUACCAACCAGUGGCCAUAAUUAUAUUGCACCUGGGUUUGUUUAGAAACCUCAUUGACAAUGCAAGGGAAAUGGUUUAGGGCUGUUAAACCAAAGAAUCCAUGGCUUAUCUUCAGUAAUUCUCAAUCUGAUGAGAUAUGCAGCUGACCCAAAUUGAAUUUCAUUUAUAAAUGUUGGCUCUAAUUAUUGUUAAUAUCCCAAUUCUCUUGGUCCUCCAUUCCCACACCUGAAGCCUCCAAUCCCCAGCAGGAAAGACCAGGAAAAAGUGUUGGCUUAAGGUACAACUUCCUAUUGAGAAAUGUAAGAUAACUCAAGGUCAUAUUUAGAUUUAGAGUUACUGACAUGAAUAGAAGCAUAUGCAGGCAAUCAAUCAAUCAAUCAAAUGUAUUUUAUAAAGCCCCUUUUACAUCAACUGUUGUCACAAAGUACUUAUACAGAUAACCAGCCUAAAACCCCAAAGAGCAAGCAAUGCAGAUGUAGAAGCACAGAGGCUAGGGAAAACUCGCUAGAAAGGUAGGAACCCAGGAAGAAACCUAGAGAGGAGCCAGGCUCCGAGGGUUAGCCAGUCCUCUUAUGGCUGUACUGGGUAGAGAGGAUCCAGGCUCCAACGGUUGGCCAGUCCUCUUGUGGCUGUGCUGGAUAGAGGAGCCAGGCUCCAACGGUUGGCCAGUCCUCUUGUGGCUGUGCUGGUGGAGAUUAUAAAGAGUACAGCCAUUUGGGCCAGAUCGUUCUUCAAUACAUUUAAACGUUCAUAGAUGACCAGCAGGGUCAAAUAAUAAUCACAGUGGUUAUAGACGGUGCAAUUGUUCAGCACCUCAGGAUUAAAUGCUAGUUGGCUUUUCAUAGCUGAGCCUUUAGAAGUUGAGACUGCAGAUCCGGUAGAGAGAGAGGGUCAAACAGCAGGUAUGGGAGAAGGUAGCAAGUCCAGUGAGCACUGAGCAGGUCAGGGUUCCAUAGCUGCAGGCAGAAACUGCAGAGACUGGAUCAGCAGCACAACCACGUGGACUGGGGACAGGGAUAGCCAGGAGUCAUCAGGCCAGGUAAUCCUGAGGCAUGGUCCUAGGACUAGGCUAAUCCCUAGAGGUUUUGUAAUUUCACAUGAUUUAGCCUACUUGUCAGUCCAGAUCUGAAUGUUUGAUAUCCUUUUUACAGUACACUGUUGAUAGUAAUUGUUUCCAAAGGUAAUCAUUGAAUGUCCUGCUACAAGGAUGUGGUCAGGUUGACACAAUUCUGAGUCCCAAUAACACACACACACACCACAGAUUGCAAGGGCAAGUACAAUGAGCAAUUGGGAAAAUGAAGACCGCUGCCCGACACACACACUUAAUUUCGGUUAGUGUUUAGUCAAGGCUUUGUGAUUAAAAUUAUAUUGUGCCUAUCUUUCAGAUCUGCCAACCAGGCUCGGUGGGUGACAGGUAACCGAGUUUUCACCAAGCUCUUCCAUGCCUGGAGAGGCACGCCGGAACUUCUAGAGGCUUGCAGACCUGAAGCAGUUGUCACGCCCUGAUCUGUUUCACCUGUCUUUGUGAUUGUCUCCACCCCCCUCCAGGUGUCUCCUGUUUUCUCCAUUAGUCCCCGGUGUAUUUAUCCCUGUGUUUCCUGUCUCUCUGUGCCAGUUCUUCUUGUUUUGCCAAGUUAACCAGCGUUUCGCCUAGCUCCUAUUUUUCCCAGUCUCUGUUUUUUAUUUUUAUUAGCCCUCCUGGUUUUGACCCUUGCCUGUCCUGAUGCCGACUCCGCCUGCCUGACCACUCUGCCGGUUCUGAUCUCGAGCCUGCCUAUCCCCUUGAAUUUGAACCUGUUCACGGAACUCCUGACCUCGAGCCUGCCUAUCCCCUGGUACUGUUUGGCCUCUGACCUGGUUUAUGAACUCUCGCCUGUCCCCGACCUGCCUUUUGCCUACCCCUUUUGGUAUAAUAAAUAUCGGAGCUCAACCAUCUGCCUCCCGUAUCUGCAUUUGGGUCUCACCUUGUGCCCUUUAUAGCAGUGUGAUGUGGUCCAGGUAAUUAUCACACGUAUACACACUCACUCAAUCACUCUUUGUUGUAUAAUUAUUUUCACUUUGUGCCUCUCUUAGAUCUUACACCCCUAUCAGCUCAACCACAGCCCUCGCAGCUGCAGUCGUCUGCCCCUGUACCUGCUGCACUGGCCGCGACAGGUGAUACAGAUCUGCCACCCCCAGCAGUUCAGCUGCAGUCUCAGCAGUCCUCUGCUGUGGUAUUUAAUGUACCGACUGCAUCAGUUCCUGAUACACUGGUCGAUUUCCAGAUGGAUACAGAUCUGCCGUGCAUUCCAAUGCCCCUGACAGCCUCACCCAGCAGUGCAUACACUGGGCCUGUCAAGAUUGACAAAGCAGUGAUGGGCGGCUGACAAGGAAAAAUAAAACCUUCUCUCUGCUUCUCUUUUACAUUAGUAUUGUUUUAAAAAUGAAUAUGAACAUAUUUUCUUUGAAUUAGUCAAGGUCUGACAACACUGCAUAUUUUUUUAUUUUGACCAGUUGUCAUUUUCUGCAAAUAAAUGCUCUAAAUGACAAUAUUUGGGAGAAAUGUCAGUUUAUAGAAUAAAACUAAAUGUUAAUUUUACCCAAACACAUACCUAUAAAUAGUAAAACCAGAGAAACUGAUAAUUUUGCAGUGGUCUCUUAAUUUUUUUCCAGAGCUGUAGAUAUGUGGACGAAAGAUAUGUAUUCAUUGAAAGCUAAAGCCCACGGAACCAGAUUCUCGAUAUCCUCCUAUAUAGCUGGCUAGCCAGCAGCCUGGAGAGCAGCGCUGUUAUUGAAGUUUUGGUUUUAUGUCGUGCUGUUUGUGUGUAUACUGGACCAUUACUGGAAUUGUUGUAGGAACCGUGAGUCAACAAAGUUAAAAGUGGAAUGCUCUAAUUUGGCAUUUAGUGGUUAACUGUUGGUCUAAAAUGGAACAUAAAGUUGACGUUACCAAA